rnacentral:rRNA from 1 species
UGGGGAAUAUUGCACAAUGGGGGAAACCCUGAUGCAGCGACGCCGCGUGAGCGAAGAAGGCCUUCGGGUCGUAAAGCUCUUUUAUGAGGGAAGAUAAUGACGGUACCUCAAGAAAAAGCCCCGGCUAACUACGUGCCAGCAGCCGCGGUAAUACGUAGGGGGCUAGCGUUGUCCGGAAUCACUGGGCGUAAAGGGUUCGCAGGCGGAAUAACAAGUCAGAUGUGAAAGGCAUGGGCUCAACCCAUGUAAGCAUUUGAAACUGUAAUUCUUGAGAAGUGGGGAGGUAAGUGGAAUUCCUAGUGUAGCGGUGAAAUGCGUAGAUAUUAGGAGGAAUACCUGUGGCGAAGGCGACUUACUGGACACAAAUCUGACGCUGAGGAACGAAAGCGUGGGUAGCAAACAGG